AACCCCGCUUGAGAAUUUAGAUUUAGGAUAAUUAAGACUUGUUCACGAGAUUUUUCCUAAGUUUGUACUAUGACACGAUUUUCAACAAUAGUAGGGAUUGUAAAUGAUAGACUAUUACUAUUCGUUCAGGCGCACACGAGGACCUUUAAGAGGAUCCGACAGAGGACGCUUGAACUUCAAAUUGAACCUAUUGCCCUUGUUUGACUAGGUUCUGACAACUGAGGAAGACUUGAGAUCUACUUGUACUUUAAGCAUGUAGUUUGAAUUAAACAAUGUAGCUUUUGUUUCGGGUUGCCACUUGAAGCUGGAAAAGUGUAACCCUUGAAUUUGUAUGUGGCUUGUAUGAAAUUUGUUACUUGGCUUAUAAGGAUGUAUUUGAAUUAUAUGUUUUGU